AUUGAACGCUGGCGGCAGGCCUAACACAUGCAAGUCGAACGAGUGGCGGACGGGUGAGUAAAGUCUGGGAAACAGCCUGAUGGAGGGGGAUAACUACUGGAAACGGUAGCUAAUACCGCAUACCAGCAGAUGUGGCCAGAUGGGAUUAGCUGGUGGGGGGGGUAACGGCGUACCAAGGCGACGAUGCCUAGCUGGUCUGAGAGGAUGACCAGCAACACUGACACUGAGGGACGGUCCAGACUCCUACGGGAGGCAGCAGCAGGGACUAAUGGACAAUGGGCGCAAGCCUGAUCCAGCCAUGGCGCGUGUAUGAAGAAGGCCUUCGGGUUGUAGCGUACUUGCAGCGGGGAGGCGUUACCCGCAGCAGAAGCACCGGCUAACUCCGUGCCAGCAGCCGCGGGCGUUC
rnacentral:rRNA from 1 species